rnacentral:rRNA from 1 species
UACGAAGGGGGCUAGCGUUGUUCGGAAUUACUGGGCGUAAAGCGCGCGCAGGCGGUCUUCCAAGUCAGUGGUGAAAGCCUGGAGCUCAACUCCAGAACUGCCAUUGAAACUGUUAGACUUGAGUACGAGAGAGGUGAGUGGAAUUCCCAGUGUAGAGGUGGAAUUCGUAGAUAUUAGGAAGAACACCAGUGGCGAAGGCGGCUCACUGGUCCGGUACUGACGCUGAGGUGCGAAAGCGUGGGGAGCAAACAGG